UAUAUAAGUUAUCGUUUAUUUGAUAUUGCCUAUCCUACAUGGAUAACAGUGGUAAUUCUAGAGCUAAUACAUGCUGAAAAUCCCGACUUCGGAAGGGACGUAUUUAUUAGAAUCAGAACCAAUGCCCUUCGGGGUUUUCUGGUGACUCAUGAUAACUCCACAGAUCGCAUGGCCUUGCGCCGGCGAUGGCUCAUUCAAAUUUCUUCCCUAUCAACUUUCGACGGUACGGUCUUGGCCUACCGUGGUUGUAACGGGUGACGGAGGGUUAGGGCUCGACCCCGGAGAAGGAGCCUGAGAAACGGCUACUACAUCCAAGGAAGGCAGCAGGCGCGCAAAUUAUCCAAUCCCGACUCGGGGAGAUAGUGACAAUAAAUACCGAUACAGGGCUCUUUUGGGCCCUGUAAUUGGAAUGAGUACAAUUUAAACCUCUUAACGAGGAACAAUUGGAGGGCAAGUCUGGUGCCAGCAGCCGCGGUAAUUCCAGCUCCAAUAGCGUAUAUUAAAGUUGUUGUGGUUAAAAAGCUCGUAGUCGAACCUCGAGCCUGGCCGGCCGGUCCGCCUCACCGCGUGCACUGGUCUGGCCGGGCUCUUCCCUCUGCGGAACCGCAUGUCCUUCACUGGGCGUGUCGGGGAGGCAGGACUUUUACUUUGAAAAAAUUAGAGUGCUCAAGGCAGGCCAAUGCUCGAAUACAUUAGCAUGGAAUAAUAGAAUAGGACGUUGGUUCUAUUUUGUUGGUUUCUAGGACCGCCGUAAUGAUCAAUAGGGACGGUCGGGGGCAUCAGUAUUCAGCCGUCAGAGGUGAAAUUCUUGGACCGGCUGAAGACUAACUACUGCGAAAGCAUUUGCCAAGGACGUUUUCGCUGAUCAGGAACGAAAGUUAGGGGAUCGAAGACGAUCAGAUACCGUCGUAGUCUUAACCAUAAACUAUGCCGACUAGGGAUCGGGCGGCGUUCUUUCUAGACCCGCUCGGCACCUUUCGAGAAAUCAAA
rnacentral:rRNA from 1 species